GACGAACCGUGCGAACGUUGUUCGGAAUCACUGGGCUUAAAGGGCGCGUAGGCGGUUGAUCAAGUCUGGGGUGAAAUCUUUCGGCUAACCGGAAAGUGCCUUGGAUACUGGUCAGCUGGAGGGAGGUAGGGGCAGUUGGAACUCCAGUGGAGCGGUGAAAUGCGUUGAUAUUGGAAGGAACGCCGGUGGCGAAAGCGAGCUGCUGGACCUCUCUGACGCUGAUGCGCGAAAGCUAGGGAGCAACG
rnacentral:rRNA from 1 species